rnacentral:rRNA from 1 species
AGAGUUUGAUCCUGGCUCAGGAUGAACGCUGGCGGCGUGCUUAACACAUGCAAGUCGAACGAUGACUUUUGUGCUUGCACAGAAUGAUUAGUGGCGAACGGGUGAGUAACACGUGAGUAACCUGCCCCUGACUCUGGGAUAAGCCUGGGAAACUGGGUCUAAUACCGGAUAUGCACCGUUGACCGCAUGGUUUUUGGUGGAAAGAUUUUUUGGUCAGGGAUGGACUCGCGGCCUAUCAGCUUGUUGGUGAGGUAAUGGCUCACCAAGGCGACGACGGGUAGCCGGCCUGAGAGGGUGACCGGCCACACUGGGACUGAGACACGGCCCAGACUCCUACGGGAGGCAGCAGUGGGGAAUAUUGCACAAUGGGCGAAAGCCUGAUGCAGUGACGCCGCGUGAGGGAUGACGGCCUUCGGGUUGUAAACCUCUUUCAGUAGGGAAGAAGCGAAAGUGACGGUACCUGCAGAAGAAGCGCCGGCUAACUACGUGCCAGCAGCCGCGGUAAUACGUAGGGCGCAAGCGUUAUCCGGAAUUAUUGGGCGUAAAGAGCUCGUAGGCGGUUUGUCGCGUCUAUCGUGAAAGUCCGAGGCUCAACCUCGGAUCUGCGGUGGGUACGGGCAGACUAGAGUGAUGUAGGGAGACUGGAAUUCCCUGGUGUAACGGUGAAAUGC